rnacentral:rRNA from 1 species
GAUGAACGCUGGCGACGUGCCUAAUACAUGCAAGUCGAGCGAACAGACGAGGAGCUUACUCCUCUGACGUUAGCGGCGGACGGGUGAGUAACACGUGGAUAACCUACCUAUAAGACUGGGAUAACUUCGGGAAACCGGAGCUAAUACCGGAUAACAUGUUGAACCGCAUGGUUCAACAGUGAAAGACGGUCUUGCUGUCACUUAUAGAUGGAUCCGCGUCGCAUUAGCUAGUUGGUAAGGUAACGGCUUACCAAGGCAACGAUGCGUAGCCGACCUGAGAGGGUGAUCGGCCACACUGGAACUGAGACACGGUCCAGACUCCUACGGGAGGCAGCAGUAGGGAAUCUUCCGCAAUGGGCGAAAGCCUGACGGAGCAACGCCGCGUGAGUGAAGAAGGUCUUCGGAUCGUAAAACUCUGUUAUUAGGGAAGAACAAAUGUGUAAGUAACUAUGCACGUCUUGACGGUACCUAAUCAGAAAGCCACGGCUAACUACGUG